GGACACCUUCUCUAUGGACCCAGGACCUAAUGCUUUUUCAGUCCAUACUGAAUGGAAAACUGUCAGGAAAGUGCUUCUCAGGUGACAGGAGAAGGUGAAGACUGUCAUGAUCCCUUAACCAGGCAUUUCACAAUUGCAGUCUUCAGACAGGACUCAGAUCGAUGUGACCAAAAGGCAGUGGCACACAAUCCCAGGGGCCUUAGUCUCUGAAGCUGAAUGCUGUGGUUCAGCAUGGAAUGAUUGCUGCACUUGAUUUCAGAGCUGCAGGAGAGGAGGAUUCUCUGCAAGGCUUCAGCUGCCAUGCAGCCUCCGAGUCCUGAUGCUGUGAUAGAUGCCCAGUGCAUGCACCAGUGAGUCCUGCUGUGAGCUGGGCUGCCCCUGUGAGGCUCCUCUGGGGCUGAUGCUCAGAGGCUGAUAUCAUCGUGCUGGAACCAGGCUUUGCGGCGACAUGCUUCUCCCUCCCUCUGGCAUCCAGCUCGCCCUGGCCACAUGUGCAGCCCCGGCCACGACCUCGGCCUUGGCUGGGCUCUGAUGGCCCAUUUAACAGUCACAGGCUGGAGAGGGAGUUGCUGCUAUUUUUAACCAGCUGGACAGUUAAAUAAUUCAGAGGCAGACACACACAGAGUGGUCUGGGCUGUGCCUGGGAUCUGGGAGGGGAGAGGAGCAUUGUAUCGACCCUGCUGGGCUUGCUUGACCUUAUCAAGCAUGGGUUCUCAGGCUCUUUAACACAAACACAAAACAAAAACUAAACUUUCAAAAGUGAAAUCCCUGCCUCACUGACGUCAAUGGGACUCCUGGCUCUGACUGCAGUGGAGCCUGGAUCACACUUAGCUGCAAGGCAAGAACUGUUCAGUAUUUCCUUGCUUUCUAAUGCUGCAGAACUCUUUUUCCAUGACAAACUUAUGGUGAGUAGAGUCCAGAAUGGGAAGUGUCAAAAUUUCUGAGGGAAAAAAGGACUACUUUUAAGAAAUCUCUUUCGAAACAGGAUGUCCCAUGUAUGGCUACUCCCCCUAUUUCAGACUAAGAAGAAAUGUACAGAAAAGUAUUUUCUCCCAUCUCUCCAGCCCAAUCCCCCCCCAGCUGUCCUGUGGAGUGGUCCACAGCUCAGUGGAAGGCUGACCCUCUCAGGGAUGCCAGGGAGAGCACAAAACCUGCCAGCAAACCUGCUCCAGCACAGAAUUCCCACGAGGUCAUAGCCUCCUUUGGGCAUCCCCCUGCUCCAGUGUUGGGUCUUCCCCAGGCUACAGGUGACUAUCUGCUCCACCAUGGACCUUUCCAGGCUGCAUGUGAACAGCCUGCCUCACCAUGGGCAUCAUUCAUUAUGGGAUGCAGGGGAAUUUCUACUCCAGUGCCUGGAGCGCCUCCUCCCCUUUCACUGACCUUGGUGCCUGCAGGGCUGUUUCUCUUGCUUCUUUCUCCAGCUGCAGUUGCACAGGCACUCCCACCCCCAUCCCCUCCCCACCACCCCUUUUUAAAUCCCCAGUCUCAGAGGCUUUACACUGGUGCUGAUGGGCUGGGCCUUGGCCAUUGGUGGGUCCGUCUUGGAGCCAGCUGGCUCUGACUCUGUGGGACAUAGGCAGCUCCUCACAGAACCCACCUCUGUAGCCCCCCUGCCACCAAAACCUUGUCAUGCAAACCCAGUACACUUGUCUUUCAAAUAAAAGGUACAAACUCAGUCUUUAGGCACGAUGGAAUCCACAGAGGAGCUCAACUUUGAAAGACAAAUGCUCAGCAAACCAGGCUUCACUGAUCCUGCUGUUAAUAGGGCUGCUUGUUUCCUUUGAUUCCUGUGUGUUAGCUCAGCUGUGUUUUGGGACCGAACAAGAUCUUUCCACUAGUUCAAUUUCAAACACGUGGUAAAUGACUCUGUGCCUGGAGCACCCAAGGUUCCCGGGUGGUCUCUGUGCAGACACCAGAGCUGUUCCUGCUGCCGAGAUCAGGCAAAACACAGCUCCCUGUUCCAGCAUAGCCAGCGCUCGCCAGAGCCCGGAUGAUGCCGAGAGGAGGAGGAGGAGGAGGAGGAGGAAGAGGAGGAGGAGGUUGCGAGUCCCUUGUGCCUUCCACACUUAAGGUUCUCGCCACGACCCAAAUCAUCACGACAUUCACUAGCAGAGGCGUGUGAAGUCUUGUUAAAAGAAUGUGGCUUGUGAUGAUGCUCGGUGGCUCGAAUGAAUAAUUUGUGGCCAGGGUGACUCAGGCAGCACGGGCUGGCAGCCAGGAGCGGGCAGAGGAGCCAGGGGCUCGCUCAGCAGCACGUCUGGACAGCGUGUGCUGGGAGCACGGCGUGUCUGAAAGGCCAGCUGCGUAACCCGUGGGAGGCCCACAUCUUCCUGAGAGCCCAUCAGGAGAGUACCAGCAAGGAAAAGGAAUUUGGCCUCAGAAGUGUGUUUUUCUAGCCAAAAAGUAUAGGCAAGUGGGUGGGGAGACUGGGCAUCAGAGUGACGUUUGCAAAUGGAAGUGACAGUGCACUUGGAAAAUGUGACUCUGGGUUUAUCCUCACUUCUCUACAACUGAGUGAUGCCUGUCUGUCCUUCCUUCUGAGCUUCACGAAGACAUUCCCUUGGGAGGCAAAACCCUGCCUGUUUGACAAUGCAUGCAAAAUAGGAUGCCAUGCCCUGUACCGUGCGGAAGUUCAAUUUUCAGAUAAUACAGAAUUGGGAUGUCUUAUCUAAUACUGCUGGCAGGCUCUCCUGAGAGUCCGCACAGCAAAUUUUACCUGCUUAGUAUGGUGAAUUUAAAUCACCAGAGCCACACCGGCAAAACUCUCCUGUGCAGAACCUCAUUCUGGUCUAAGGUCCUUGAGUAAUUAUUCUGUAAUAAAGUCACUUAAAUUUUAGAAUAGAAUGUCCAUGUGGAGAAGUUAUACAGGCACAGCUAUAACAGGAUAAUUAUUUUGUUAUAGCUAUGUCAGUCAAUUUCUCAAGGCAUCAGUCACAUGGGAAAGUUGAAAUUAUGUAUUUUUUACAGUCUACAGCAAUUCUUUAUUUUUUAAUGUCCAUUAGUGCUUGACUAAUGCUGAAUGAUAGUGGAAAUUCUCCAGAACAAAGACAGUGCUCAGAGUUUCCUCGUGGUUAUCAAAGGAAUUUGGAUCUAUUCUAGUAAAACUAAUAUGUAAUGAAUUGGCAGUGAUUGGGGGUUUAUAGCUGAAUUGACGGGGAAUUAUGAAACCACAGUUUACUAAAUUCAACUGAAACAGCUGAAACUCAGAAAUUUGUGAAGUCCCUAUUUAUGUGUUAAGAGUUCUCAAGAUUUUUUAAAAGUACACACAAAACCAGAUUAAGACACAAAAUUCUCUUAUUCCCACACAGUGUUGGAUGUUUCACAUUUCAACACAGGACUUUAUGACUAACCAUACCAAUUUUGGGGGUGUCUGAAACAGUUUAGUUCCUGAGUAAGUUGUUGCAAAGUCUAUUCAUUAUGAUUCAUUAUUAACUGUGGUGAAGACAGUCCUUUAGGAUCAAACUGUACCUGUCAAGGACAAUGGCAUAUAUGAGCUUUCUAUGGAGAUAUGCCAGAGCUGGCUUGAGUCUGGAGAUUAAAGCACAGCAGGAAUUAGGAGCCUGGCUCCCCUCAGAGCUGCGUGUUGAAAUGCUGGAUGGAGCAAACAGGUGCCAACUGAAUUUGUCACAGUCACAUCUGAAUUUGAGCUGAAGAGUCACCAGAACAGGGAAGGCAAAAAAUCUCAGUGCACAUGAAUGCACCGUGUAGCUCCUGCACGCCAGGCUGGGCACACAGCGAGCUGCCAGGGGAGCUGGGGCUUCUGCACAGGCAAGCAGACCUGGUACGGGCUUAAUAGAAAGCAUGACUCAAAAUGAAACCUGCCCAUGGCUGUCAGCUGUCUCGCAGCAAAACAGUACCUAAUUACAUGUAUUACAUCUCCCUUCCUGGAAAGGGGGUGGCUUUGAGGUGGAGGAUGCCAACGUGCAUAUCCAAGUGGAGAAGCCAGCUGGGAGGAGCACAGGGGCAAGGACAGAGCGUGGUGUGUAAGGCCACAGCUGCAGGCACAUUUGGGUGUGUGGAUGGCUUCUUGGUCCUGUCGGUGUCUCCUUGGGCACAGCCCAUCCGUGCCAAGGAUGCUCCUCUGUCACUGUCUCCCAGUAUCACCCCGCCAGAAGGAAAGGGCUCUCCUAACUCAGCACUUCUUGUUGUCACACCAGCCCUGCUAGAUUUGGUAGGGUAGACCACCUCAUUUUCAUUUCAGUUGAUCUCCAUACAUUCACCUCUUUGGUUCUUUAUCUGAAUUUGGGUUUUUUAGGGGAGGGGGCAAGGCCCAUUUUGCACAGGACACAAGGAUAAAAAAGGACAUAUCUUUCCAGGGCUGCAACACAAAGGUUUAAUCAUGUUUCAGAAUAACUGGAGUUAUAAACUGAUGGGGCAUUUAAAAUGUUAUCUAUUUCCAAACAUCAAAUGUUCAAAUUCUGCCUUAAGGGGACAUUAGCUGAUUAUCAAAUCACAAUGAGAUUCUUAUAACUUUAUUUUAAUAAACAGUUUUCAUAAAUGUUAACAUUUUAAUGGAUGAUUACAUUCAUAUUUAGCUAGCAGAUGCAUUCAUGUUGAUUGAUGUUAUUUCCGCGAAUACCAAAGGAAUUAAAUAAUGACUUGUCACUUA